GAGUUUGAUCCUGGCUCAGGACGAACGCUGGCGGCGCGCCUAACACAUGCAAGUCGAACGAGCGAGAGAGAGCUUGCUUUCUCGAGCGAGUGGCGAACGGGUGAGUAACGCGUGAGGAACCUGCCUCAAAGAGGGGGACAACAGUUGGAAACGACUGCUAAUACCGCAUAAGCCCACAGCUCGGCAUCGAGCAGAGGGAAAAGGAGCAAUCCGCUUUGAGAUGGCCUCGCGUCCGAUUAGCUAGUUGGUGAGGUAACGGCCCACCAAGGCGACGAUCGGUAGCCGGACUGAGAGGUUGAACGGCCACAUUGGGACUGAGACACGGCCCAGACUCCUACGGGAGGCAGCAGUGGGGAAUAUUGCACAAUGGGGGAAACCCUGAUGCAGCGACGCCGCGUGGAGGAAGAAGGUCUUCGGAUUGUAAACUCCUGUUGUUGAGGAAGACAAUGACGGUACUCAACAAGGAAGUGACGGCUAACUACGUGCCAGCAGCCGCGGUAAAACGUAGGUCACAAGCGUUGUCCGGAAUUACUGGGUGUAAAGGGAGCGCAGGCGGGAAGACAAGUUGGAAGUGAAAUCCAUGGGCUCAACCCAUGAACUGCUUUCAAAACUGUUUUUCUUGAGUAGUGCGGAGGUAGGCGGAAUUCCCGGUGUAGCGGUGGAAUGCGUAGAUAUCGGGAGGAACACCAGUGGCGAAGGCGGCCUACUGGGCACCAACUGACGCUGAGGCUCGAAAGUGCGGGUAGCAAACAGGAUUAGAUACCCUGGUAGUCCACACUGUAAACGAUGAUUACUAGGUGUUGGAGGAUUGACCCCUUCAGUGCCGCAGUUAACACAAUAAGUAAUCCACCUGGGGAGUACGACCGCAAGGUUGAAACUCAAAGGAAUUGACGGGGGCCCGCACAAGCAGUGGAGUAUGUGGUUUAAUUCGACGCAACGCGAAGAACCUUACCAAGUCUUGACAUCCUGCGACGCACAUAGAAAUAUGUGUUUCCUUCGGGACGCAGAGACAGGUGGUGCAUGGUUGUCGUCAGCUCGUGUCGUGAGAUGUUGGGUUAAGUCCCGCAACGAGCGCAACCCUUAUGGUCAGUUACUACGCAAGAGGACUCUGGCCAGACUGCCGUUGACAAAACGGAGGAAGGUGGGGAUGACGUCAAAUCAUCAUGCCCUUUAUGACUUGGGCUACACACGUACUACAAUGGCGUUAAACAAAGAGAAGCAAGACCGCGAGGUGGAGCAAAACUCUGAAACAACGUCCCAGUUCGGACUGCAGGCUGCAACUCGCCUGCACGAAGUCGGAAUUGCUAGUAAUCGCAGAUCAGCAUGCUGCGGUGAAUACGUUCCCGGGCCUUG
rnacentral:rRNA from 1 species